rnacentral:rRNA from 1 species
CCUACGGGGGGUUGCAGUGGGGAAUCUUGCGCAAUGGGCGAAAGCCUGACGCAGCAACGCCGCGUGCGGGAUGAAGGCUCUCGGGUUGUAAACCGCUUUCAGCAGGACCGAAAAUGACGGUACUUGCAGAAGAAGGUGCGGCCAACUAUGUGCCAGCAGCCGCGGUGAUACAUAGGCAACAAGCGUUGGCCGGAUUUAUUGGGCGUAAAGAGCUCGUAGGCGGUUCGGUAAGUCGGGUGUGAAAACUUUGGGCUCAACCCAAAGCCUGCAUCCGAUACUGCUGUGACUAGAGUUCGGUAGGGGAGCGGGGAAUUCCUAGUGUAGCGGUGAAAUGCGCAGAUAUUAGGAGGAACACCGGUGGCGAAGGCGCCGCUCUGGGCCGAUACUGACGCUGAGGAGCGAAAGCGUGGGUAGCAAACAGGAUUAGAUACCCGAGUAGUC